rnacentral:rRNA from 1 species
CUACGGGAGGCAGCAGUGGGGAAUCUUCCGCAAUGGACGAAAGUCUGACGGAGCAACGCCGCGUGUAUGAUGAAGGCCUUCGGGUUGUAAAGUACUGUCUUUGGGGACGAAUGGUAGUUAUGAAAAUAUUAUAGCUACAUGACGGUACCCAAGAAGGAAGCCCCGGCUAACUACGUGCCAGCAGCCGCGGUAAUACGUAGGGGGCAAGCGUUGUCCGGAAUCAUUGGGCGUAAAGGGCGCGUAGGCGGAUAGUUAAGUCCGAUGUGAAAUACCAGGGCUCAACCCUGGGGCUGCAUCGGAAACUGGUUAUCUUGAGGACAGGAGAGGAAAGUGGAAUUCCACGUGUAGCGGUGAAAUGCGUAGAUAUGUGGAGGAACACCAGUGGCGAAGGCGACUUUCUGGACUGUAACUGACGCUGAGGCGCAAAAGCGUGGGGAGCAAACAGGAUUAGAUACCCGUGUAGUCC